rnacentral:rRNA from 1 species
GAUGAACGCUGGCGGCGUGCCUAAUACAUGCAAGUCGAACGAACAGACCCGGAGCUUGUGCCGCUGACGUUAGCGGAGCGCGGGUGAGAAACACGUGGAUAACCUACCUGUAUUUCGGAGAUAACUUCGGUAAAGGGGAUCUUAUCCCGGAGGAUAUCUUGCACCGUGUUGGGCGAUGGUAAGAUUCGGCUGUUCUGUCUGGUCUAGAUGGAUCUGCGCCGCUUGAGCUGGUUGGUAAGGUAACGGCCUACCAAGGCAACGAUGCGUAUACGAGGUCAGAGAGUGAUCGGCCACACUGGAGCUGAGCCACGGUCAAGAGGCCUACGGGAGGCAGCAGAAGGGAACGUUACGCAAUGGGCGAAAGCAUGACGGAGCGACGCCGAGUGAGAGAUGAAGGUCUCCGGAUCGUAAAACUCUGUUAUUAGGGAAGAACAAAUGUGGAAUUAAAUAUGCCGGCAGUGACGGUAACGAGUCAGAAAGCACCGGCUAACUACGUG